rnacentral:rRNA from 1 species
UACGUAGGCAGCGAGCGUUUGUUCGGAAUUACUGGGCGUAAAGAGUGUGUAGGCGGUGCUCUAAGUUCGGUGUGAAAUCUCCUGCUUAACUGGGAGGGUGCGCCGGAAACUGGAGUGCUCGAGCGUGGGAGAGGAAAGCGGAAUUCCUGGUGUAGCGGUGAAAUGCGUAGAUAUCAGGAGGAACACCUGUGGUGUAGACGCUU